rnacentral:rRNA from 1 species
GGUGAACGCUGGCGGUAUGCUUAACACAUGCAAGUCGAACGGUCACUUCGGUGAUAGUGGCGGACGGGUGAGUAACGCGUGAGAAUCUGUCUUCAGGUCGGGGACAACAGUUAGAAAUGACUGCUAAUACCGGAUGUGCCUUUGGGUGAAAGAUUUAUUGCCUGAAAAAGAGCUCGCGUCAGAUUAGCUAGUAGGUGGUGUAAGAGACUACCUAGGCUCCGAUCUGUAGCUGGUCUGAGAGGACGAUCAGCCACACUGGAACUGAGACACGGUCCAGACUCCUACGGGAGGCAGCAGUGGGGAAUUUUCCGCAAUGGGCGAAAGCCUGACGGAGCAAUACCGCGUGAGGGACGAAGGCUUUUGGGUCGUAAACCUCUUUUCUCAAGGAAGAUGAUGACGGUACUUGAGGAAUAAGCAGCGGCUAACUCUGUG